rnacentral:rRNA from 1 species
CCAGACGUCUGUUGAAAAAGGCGGGGAUGACCUGUGGAUAGCGGAGAAAUUCCAAUCGAACCCGGAGAUAGCUGGUUCUCCUCGAAAUAGCUUUAGGGCUAGCCUCGCAUUAGUUUACCGGAGGUAGAGCACUGAAUGGUCUAGGGGGUCUCACCGCCUACCGAAACCUAUCAAACUGCGAAUGCCGGAUAAAUGAUGUGCGGGAGUCAGGCCGCGAGAGAUAAGUUCCGCGGUCAAAAGGGGAACACCCCAGAUCGUCUGCUAAGGUCCCCAAGUACGCGUUAAGUGGGAAAGGAUGUUGGAUUGCACAGACAACCAGGAUGUUGGCUUAGAAGCAGCCACACAUUCAAAGAGUGCGUAAUAGCUCACUGGUCGAGUGAUCCAGCGCCGAAAAUGUAACGGGGCUAAAACGCGACACCGAAGCAGCGGGAUGCGUAAGCAUCGGUAGAGGAGCAUUGUGUGAGGAUAGAAGCCAGAGCGGGAGCACUGGUGGACUUCACAGAAGAGAGAAUGCCGGUAUGAGUAGCGAGACCCAUGCGAGAAACAUGGGCGUCGAAGGCCCAAGGUUUCCUGGGGAAGGUUCAUCCACCCAGGGUAAGUCGGGACCUAAGCCGAGGACUGAGGUCGUAGGCGAUGGACAGCAGGUAGAGAUUCCUGCACCACUUACACUUGUUUGACGAAGCAGUGACACAGAAGGAUAGGACGAGCGCGGUGAUGGUCAACCGCGUAGGCGGCACGAGGCUGAGAAGCAGUAAAGUACACUUCUCAUGAAGGCUGAGUGCUGACAGGACCGAAAAAGAGUAGGGAAGCGUCUGAGUUCACGCUGGCGAGAAAAGCUGCUAAGGAGAGUGUGAGUGCCCGUACCGGAAACCGACGCAGGUGGGCGAGGAGAGAAUCCUGAGACGGACGGGAGAACUCUUGUUAAGGAACUCGGCAAAAUGACCCCGUAACUUCGGGAGAAGGGGUGCCUCGAAAGAGGCCGCAGAGAAUAGUCACAAGCGACUGUUUAGCAAAAACACAGGUAUCUGCGAAAGCGAGAGCUGACGUAUAGGUGCUGACGCCUGCCCGGUGCUGGAAGGUUAAGGGGAAGUGUUAGGGGAAACCCGAAGCAGAGAACCGAAGCCCCAGUAAACGGCGGCCGUAACUAUAACGGUCCUAAGGUAGCGAAAUUCCUUGUCGGGUAAGUUCCGACCCGCACGAAUGGCGUAACGACUUGUGAGCUGUCUCAACAGGAGGCCCGGUGAAAUUGAAGUAUGUGUGAAGAUGCACAUUACCCGCGACUGGACGGAAAGACCCCGUAGAGCUUUACUGUAACCUGACAUUGGAUCUUGAUAACGGAUGCACAGGAUAGGUGGGACGCUGGGAGGUAUGGACUUUGGUCUGUACGGAGCGGACGUUGGGAUACCACUCUUCUGUUAUUGAGAUUCUAACCUCAAGCCGUAAGCCGGAUGAGAGACAGUGUCAGGCGGACAGUUUGACUGGGGCGGUCGCCUCCGAAAGAGUAACGGAGGCGCCCAAAGGUUCCCUCA